rnacentral:lncRNA from 1 species
CCCGCUCUGAGCCAGCCCCACCCUUUUCUCCCGAAAGCCCUUUUCCUCCAACCCCCUCCUCCUGCUCCAUUCAGCCCAAGUUCAAGUGCAAACCACCAGGAAAACCCAAAGAACGUUCAUGGGAUAAAUCACCCGAUUACUAAUCAGGUCCACCCGUCCCACCGUUAACCGCUAUUUUCCCUGCGAAAAGUAAAUACGCCUCCUCCCCACCGCCUGACAGCGAAGCCAUUAAACCCAGGAAGGGCGUGUCUCCACAGCAGCCCAGAAACAACUUGAAAGUGGAAAAAUACGGUGGAUUCGGUGAUUCAGUGGUCGUUAAGAUAGCCAAAAUGUUUGGUUUCAGCUUUGACGGAACCCAUUCCUCUCCCCUAUUUUGUCUCUUCCCAGAUCAGAGGAAGCAGAGCCUCAGAAGACACUUGAGCAGUUCUGACGCCUUUGCGCUCCCAGCUAAGGCUGAUCCUGUGAGCCAGUUCUUGUCGAAGAAAUGCCUGCUAAAGCCUCUGGGGCAGGUCUUCCCCCCCCCCCCGAUACAUGGGAAGCUCCCUACUUUCUGCUUUGACCAUGAUAUGUGAAGACUGACACUCUCAGCUAUGGCAGCCUUUUAAGACUAUGAGGUGACAAGGCUGGACUCCUAAAAGGAAUACAUGGCGGGGAGCAGAAUACAGAAGGAGAGUCCUUGAUGUGAACUCUGAUCACUGAACCAGCCUAUGCCCAACUGCCUGCCUGCAGAUUUACAGCAUAAGAUGUUUUUAUUGCUUUCGCUACUGUUAGAUGAGCGUCCUAUUACUUGCAGCCAAGUACAUCCUGAUUAAUGCAACAGGUGUACACACAGCAUAAGACAGUUCGGUCCUGGGGUCCCACAAGGGGUCAUGAAAAGAAAGCACGCUUUGCAGUAAAGUGGCUCUGGCUUUCAUCUUGGGCUCCCGGUGAUGACAGGGGAGACUAGACGUGGAAGUGCUGGACACACUUCCUGUCGGGCUGCCUGCCUGUCUCCUGCACUGCGCUUUCCCCAGCAUCCAGAGGCAUGCCUAGCUCAUGGUGGGCAUCCGGGAAAGUUUUGUGGAACAAAGGGAUAAAUUCCUUUCCUUCCCUCUUGUAAAAUGAGGUUUCGGUGGUGCGUCGGCUUUGCUAAGGCUGCCACAAUAAACUACGACAGGCUGGGUGGCUUAAACA